UACGAAGGGGGCUAGCGUUGUUCGGAAUUACUGGGCGUAAAGCGCGCGUAGGCGGCUUUGCAAGCCAGAGGUGAAAUGCCUGAGCUCAACUUAGGAAUUGCCUUUUGGGACUGCAAGGCUUCGAGGACUGGAGAGGUGAGUGGAAUUCCCAGUGUAGAGGUGAAAUUCGUAGAUAUUGGGAAGAACACCCGUGGCGAAGGCGGCUCACUGGCCAGUUUCUGACGCUAAAGUGCGAAAAGCGUGGGGAGCAAACAGG
rnacentral:rRNA from 1 species